UGGGAACGCGAAGAACCUUACCAGGGCUUGACAUCCCUCUGACCGGGUGGUAACGCACCCUUCCCUUCGGGGCAGAGGAGACAGGUGGUGCAUGGUUGUCGUCAGCUCGUGUCGUGAGAUGUUGGGUUAAGUCCCGCAACGAGCGCAACCCUUGUCAUUAGUUGCCAGCAGUUCGGCUGGGCACUCUAGUGAGACUGCCGGGGAUAACUCGGAGGAAGGUGGGGAUGACGUCAAAUCAUCAUGCCCCUUAUGUUCUGGGCUACACACGUGCUACAAUGGCUGGUACAGAGAGAAGCAAGACCGCGAGGUGGAGCAAAUCUCCAAAACCAGUCCCAGUUCGGAUUGCAGGCUGCAACUCGCCUGCAUGAAGUUGGAGUUGCUAGUAAUCGCGAAUCAGAAUGUCGCGGUGAAUGCGUUUCCGGGUCUUGUACACACCG
rnacentral:rRNA from 1 species